UACGGAGGGGGCUAGCGUUGUUCGGAAUUACUGGGCGUAAAGCGCGCGUAGGCGGAUCUGCAAGUCGGGGGUGAAAUCCCGAGGCUCAACCUCGGAACUGCCUUCGAUACUGCGGGUCUCGAGUCCGGGAGAGGUGAGUGGAAUUCCGUAGUGUAGAGGUGAAAUUCGUAGAUAUUAGGAAGAACACCAGUGGCGAAGGCGGCUCACUGGCCCGGUACUGACGCUGAGGCGCGAAAGCGUGGGGAGCAA
rnacentral:rRNA from 1 species